AUAAAAUGUUUUACAUUUAAGAAACAAAGAUAGGUCGUGAGAUAGGUUAAUUGGGAGGAAAUUUUGAUGAAGAAAAAAUAUAAACAAAAGCAAGAGGAGUAUAAAUUUGUUUUUCCUCCAGAGACCACAUACUCAAGCAAUGUUGAUGAAAUUUAACACAAUAGGAGAAGAAAGAGAAGAAAUACUUUCACUGGAUUCUUGGAGGCCCUUACUCUCGAUUGAAUGCUCCCAGCAGGAUCCAGCAAGAACAUCCCAAAGAAAUGAAAACUUACUUGUUUUGAAGAGACACAGCAAAGAUACUGUGGGGCAAGGAAGAACAAACCAACAGUAAAACAUGUACUCCAAGCAAGAAAGAGGUUUCUGCUUAUACUUUUAAAAAAUCAUAAAAGAUGAAUUCAUUAUUAUCCCAAGACAUCUUGAAUCAGAAAUUUGGGUACCUAAUUAUUCCAUAAAAUUAAAAUGACAGCAUCUUUGGAGAGACAGUUGCCUGGCAACUCAAACCAGGAGAUUGUCUUUAGAUCCUCUGCAAUCAUGUGUGUCUAUUUUGGUUUUUGUGUUGAGCUCAUUUCCUUCCCUGCAAUCCAAAACUGAACAAUUUCUGGAGUAAAAUUCCACUCAGAAAAAAGACUAUUUUCUUUCAGAAGAUAUUUUUAUUAGUAAGUGCAGCUGUCUGCAUGCAGUUGAAUCGCUCUAUUUUCAGGGCUGGUGUGUGAACAUAUGAGAAAAGAAAAAAUCCCAGCUGAGAGGAGGUUUCAGAUGGAGUUGUAUGUUUUGAGACCAAAAGCCAGACACCAGCUUUCUAAGAGAAAAAUCUGGUUCAGCAUCUCACAAAAGAUCAAAGUAUAAUUUAACCAGGUGAGAGGAGCUUUGCAAACUCCUACCUCUUCAUUGAAGCAAGGAGGGCUAUCCAGGUAGGCUUUUCCUUUUCAAGAUUAGAAGCCCUGAGUCUCCCAUCUCCUGAAUUAGUGAUCUGGUUCCAGAUUUUUUCAUUCUGUGUAUAGACCAAAAAAAGUUAGAUAACUGCAUUAUUUAUGAUUCUUUUUAUUAUAAGCAAGAGAACUCAAGUUGAGAGAACUUACACAAAAGAGAAUUUACCAAAAGAUUUGGGACACUCACAAAAGGCCCUCCAAAUAACUUGGAAAUGGGCAAGAACCACAGAAGGGUCCAGAAGAAACCUGUGCUGAGAUAAGUCAAUUUCAACAGUCUAUUCUGUCUUUGUAUUACUCACUCAAAACUCAUAAUCCCAGGAGAGAGUGUUGAAUUGGCUGAGUUGAGAUUACGUGUCUGGGCCUGCUGUACUAGGGCAAUAAGAGGAAGAGUCCUGUGGAAGGAACACGCAGUAACUCCUUCAGCUUCUAGAUGGAAGGGCGAGUAUCUAGAUUUACAGUCACAACAAGACUGUCCACAAAGAGGGAAAGGAAGCAGAUUUCCCAAAAAAGAAAUUCUGGGGCCAGGUGCGGUGGCUCACGCCUGUAAUCCCAGCACUUUGGGAGGCCGAGGUGGGCAGACCACGAGGUCAGGAGAUCGAAACCAUACUGGCCAACAUGGUGAAACCCCAUCUCUACUAAAAAAAUACAAAAAAUUGGCCGGGCAUGGUGGCACGCACCUGUAGUCCCAGUUACUCGGGAGGCUGAGGCAGAAGAAUCGCUUGAACCCAGGAGGCAGAGGUUGCAGUAAGCCGAGAUUGCGUCAUUGAACUCUAGCCUGGCAACAGAGCAAGACUCUGCCUAAAAAAAGAAAAAAGAAACUCUGGUUCUAUUAGGAAGAGGGAAUGAAGGCCAAAAAUAUCAAAUGUUCAUCACUGUCUAAGUUGAGUUCCCAGAAGAAGAAACCGAGGCAGGGAUUCUUGUACUAGAGACAUAUUGAAGAUGUACUUUCAGUAGAAAUCUGUAAGAAGGUAAAGGAUAGAGCAGGGGCAGAGGUGAAACAAUGAUAGGGUUUCAGCUGAAGUCUAAUUUCAGCCUGAUCCCAUGGACGGUGUGAAUUACAUCACAGAGUCGUCGUCUUUAAGGAAAGGGCUCAACAUUUGUUUAUCUCCCUGCCCCCAUAUCAGUCAGUCAUUGGGUGCAUGAUGUCCUGAUAGAAAAUAUAACCUCCCAAGCAUUUCUAGAGAGAAGUGUACGUUUGUGCCAUUAGCAGGCAAUGCUUAUAGUAGCUGGGGCUGGGGAUGCCACCACAGUAAAGGGGAUGAGGGUGGUGCACUGACAUUAUUGACUACAAUUAUAAUAAUAAAGGCAAGGUACCUGAAUUUAAUUUGCUAAGUCCAGACUUCCCGUCUAUGAACUGCCACAUCCCAUGAUUACCAUAGGACCCUGGGACUACCACUAAUUCUGGGACAGAAUAAAGGAAAGAGAUGGAUUAUUUAUUGUGCGGCUGUUUCAUUGUGGAAAAUGAUGUGAUUAACAAAGAAAUGCCAAUAGAGAGUAUAAAGAGGUAAAUUUUCUUUAACCAUUUCUCAUUUGCCCCAAGAACCCUGCACUGGCAGCAAGCUGCACUUUUUUUUUUCCUAAAUUAUAAAUGGGUUAAACAAAAAAAGAUGUGGAAACUUACGGACAUUUUCAAUGAACAAUGGCUAAAGGAGAGAGGGUUCUAGGAAGGAGGGCACCGAAAAAAAUUAAACUAAUAUACUUUCUAAUGCAUUUGAAGAAAUGAACCAGAAAAAAAAUAUUGAAAAACUCUUAUAGACCUAAUGGGCAAUUUGGGAAUAAUUAGUGAUACAGGCACAGAAAAUAAAACAAACAAAAGGUUGUUAACUCUAGAAAAAAACCAAAAAGUUGUACAAGAAAGAAAAUGUAACUACAAUUAACAACACUUACCACAUAAAUAAGCAACAUUACUCAUUAUAUUAUGAUUAAUAUAAAAUAUAUACAUAAAGGGAAAGCCAUUGAAUAGAAUUUGAUCCUCGUCAUCCAUAAUGGGAGGAUAUGCUGGGUAUUUGCUUAUUUGUUCUUAAAUUCAUUUCCUGCCUUUCCCCUUCCCAGGCUCAUAUUGCACAGGCUACUUCUGUAAACUAUGCUUCCAAGAUCUCGAUGACUGUUUUGGCUGAGUUCAGCCAACAGGAAGUGGUAGCCAGGGAUUGGAGGAUGGCAGUGAAGGAGACACCAGGAUAUUUCUCCUUCCCACUCUUUCUGCCUUAGAUAGAGCCCCUCUGGCUCUGGAGAUAAUAAUGAUUGUUUCCUGCAGCUGCUUAAGUUAAGGGUACCUCCACUUCCCCUAAUUAUCCUUCCAGGUUUUCUAAGCCAGGGUUCUCAACCUCAACACUAUUGACAUUUUGGUCUGGAUGGCUCUUUGUUUUGGGGGAUUGUCCUGUGUAUUAUAAAAUGAGUUGCAGCAUUCCUUGAGAGACUCCAUCCACUAGAUACCAGUAGUCACCACCCAGCUGUGACAACAAAAAUGUCUCCAGAAAUUGCCAAAUGUUCCCUAGGGGGCAAAAUCACCCCUAAUUAAGAACUAAAGGCUGGGCCGGGCGCAGUGGCUCACACCUGUAAUCCCAGCACUUUGGGUGGCCGAGGUGGAUGGAUCACUUGAGCCAGGAGUUUGAGACCAGCCUGGCCAACAUGGUGACCAUGUUGAGAUGUAACCCAUCUCUACUAAAAAUACAAAAAUUAGCCGGGCGUGGUGGCGUGCACUUAUAAUCCCACCUGCUCAGGAGGCUGAUGCAGGAGAAUCGCCUGAACCUGGGAGGCAGAGGUUGCAGUGAGCCGAGCUCGUGCCACUGCACUCCAGCCUGGGCGACAGAGUAAGACUCUGUCUCAAAAAAAAAAAAAAAAAAAAAGAAGAGAAAAGAAAAGAAAAGAACUGAAGUUCCAACCCCUUUAUAACUGUAUUAAAUUUUCUCUACUAAAUUUGCUAAGGGUUUUAGUUUUCUGACUUGAAGCUGACUGAUUCAGAAAGCUAUAAACAAUGUCUAAAUUUGAUCAAUCAGAAAUUAACACAAUAAGCAUAUUAUUUAGAAAUAUGCAACCAAUAAAAGAAUAAACAAAUAAGAGUAUUGAAUGUAGUUGCUUCUAGAGUGUAGGUCUGGAGAACAAAGGAGAG
rnacentral:lncRNA from 1 species